GUUGCAGCAGACACCUCUUCCCCAGAUUACUCAGACAGAGAGUUUUCUUCAGCUUGCUGAUUACUCCUUUGAGACACGGUCUCUGACCAGGGACGUGACUCACUUCACUUGGAGAGUGGUGGGCUUGAUCUUCACCUCCACCUUGUAAGAGGAACCAGUGAGCAGCUUGAUGGUCCGAUUCUGACCGAAGCGUUGCCCGUCCACUUUGAAGAAGACCGGACCAUCGUUAGGCUGGAUCCGGAGAGCGAUGGAGAGGCGCACGAGGCUCGGGAGGUCCCCCAUGGCUGAGCACCAAGGCUUGGGGAUGCUGGCGUGGGGGUGGGAGGGGGAGAGAGGUGGCUGCGGCCCAGGAGCAAUACCGCGGUGGGCGGAGAGGAAACGGAGGGAGGGGAAGGAGAAGAGACUGCAACUAGCUAGCUAGGAGCCCGCGUUGGUCCUGGUUUUGAAGGUUUGCCUCGCCCAAAGCAGCGAGGAGGCCAAUCCGACAGACCACCCCUGGUCCAGAUGUUUCUGCUCCAUUGCAUCAAGCCCCUCAACAGCAGCGGUCAGCGGACUGCAGAACGGGUCAAAUGGCAGCCAGGGCCGAGAGAGUUAAGCCUGAUUACCGCACCAUAAUCCGCUUCCUAGGGGGAGGGAGAAAAGGCAAGGCAAACUCCUCCCUCUUCCGAAUAGCCUCCCCAGCUAGAGGAGAGAGAACUCCCCUCCUUCUUCUCCUCCUUUCCCCUCCCCCCACCUUCCCUUCUUUCCCCUCCCCUUCUCCUUAUCCUCUCCAUCCUCCGGAGCAAAGGAAAGGGGAUGCUGAGGCUAAAAAUGCCUUCAAAUGAUUGGGACCAAUGGGCCCCGGAGAAGCUGAAGUACUCCUUGCUCAGGCACCAAAUUUUGUUUACACGGGAAUACGAUCCCAAUUUAGCCGGAUUGCCUCACGAGAAAGAACAUAGGAUGGUUCAGAGUAGGGAAUUGUUUUCUCCUGUGUGUAGACGUGAGGCAGGAAACAGGAAGGAAACCUCUAGCCCCUGAUUUAAGCUUGAGGAAAGAUGGAUGACUCCCUAAAGCUUCAGAAUGAUGGCUGAAGAAUAGAGCAAGCUGUGAGGCCUUCAGCUGACAUAGAUUAUAAUCUAGAUGUCAUUGCGAAAGGGACCUGUAUGCACAGAAAGCUUAGUUUAGCACAUUAACUUAUGUCAGAAUGGGGUAAGGAUAACAAGAAGACUUAAAACAUUUGUAUGAAUGGGGCUAUAUUUUAUCAAAAGGGGAUUGAGAGUUUUUUUUUUAAUAUGUGUACACACAGAUUGACAUUGAGGCUUUUUGUAAGAUCAGUAUAUAUCUGGUGAUUAGAUCAUUCUUAGUGUUCAUUUAAACGCAAAAAGAAGCAAAUACUGUAUCUUUGUUAUCUUAAUGCUUUCUCUUGUUACAACAUCCUGUAUCUUGUUGCUGGCAUUUUAGUUGAAGGUGUGAUACAUCCAAGAAAGUUAUUAAUAUUUUCUAAAAACAAAAAUCAAGUAACAUCAAUUUGCGUAUUUCCUCCUUUGAUAUAUUAUUAGCUCUGAGUGAACCCCAAAAUAAUAUAAACAUGUCCAUCUCUUUUUGGAGGAUUAGCUAUAUGUUAUUCAGAAAGAACCUGACAUCAACUUGUGCCACAUAAGGGCAAAAAGAGGAAUGUGUGUAAAGGGUGUUAAUUGUAGUAUCAAUUGUACAGUGGCAAUAAAAAGUUUUGUUAUGCAAAUGGA